ensembl:lncRNA
CCCAGCUCACAAUCUGUUUCCUUCUGUGGCGAAGUCGGGCACGUCCCACUGCUGGGGGUGGAGAGCCAGGAAUCCCGAGUGGAGGCCCGAGGACGCCCAGUCUCUGCUGCUUCCCCCACAGGACCCUCCGCCUGGUGGGACCCGACGCGGACCCCGCCGAGCUCUGCGUCCACGACUGGUGCCCCCAGGAACGCGUCCGUGGGAAGCAGGGAAAGUUUCAAACAUGGUGGAAUGGAGUCGUCGGAUCUUUCUUUCUAUGCCGGAUUGCAGGCGGCCCCGAGGCUGGCCAACCGCACGAAAAGUUCCCCAUCAUCUGGAUGUCGUGAAUGACUUUACAUACCCAGGACGACCUGUGCAUCUUUUGAAAAGUAGAAGAGCUUCUCUGUUGGAACGAACACUUUCUCCUUUCGCUGUAGCCUUGAAUUUCUCGGGAUGCAGAAGCGCUGCGCUGCUCCCAGGCACGCACGAGGCCCGGCGCCCAGCAUUCCUCACUUUUUAAGGAGUUCUCUAAGACACCCGCAGCGCAAGCUCUUCAUUCUGAAUCAUUUUAAUUCUGUUCCAAAAAAAAAAAGAGCCCUUCGAUUUAACAUGGUUUUCACCAGAUGCCCGCAGGUUGGGAGCUGAUGCUGCUGCCUUUGGGCUCAGCCCGGCAUGCGAGGUGGAGUCGGGGGGUGCUUGGGGGCAUGCGGGGGUCAGGAGGCACUGGGGGUCCUGCGGCUCCCUCUGGCCACAGACAAGUCUGCUCAGCUCUGUGGACAGCAGUGUUCCCAGGGGUCCAUUCCUGCCACUCCCCAGUCACCGCAGCUGUGUGUCCAAGGAUGUGCUGGAUCUUACGACCAACUCGAGGGCUGUGGACUGAGGGAAAGGCACUUCUAGGCCUUGCACACGCUCUUUAUGCCCUCGCCUGGAAAGGGACUGUGGCAAUGAGCAAUCCCCCUUUCGUAGCGGGAUUGCAAACUGCCCCCAGGCCUUCACUUUCCCUGCAGACACACCUUUGCAACAUGACUUUGCAUCUCCUCCCAUCAAUAAGUGGAGUUAAUUUCCCCGCCCUGCCCUUUAAAUCUGGGUUGGGCUUGUGACUCACUCUGGUGAGAGAAUACGAUGUGAGUGAUGGCUGCCAGUUCUAAGCCUCAGGCUCAGGAGGCUUAGAGCUCUUCCGCUCUUCCUCUCGGACGCUGUGAUUACCAACUGACCAAGCUGCACACUUAGACGGAAGAGACGUGGCCCAAUCCCCCGUCACCCUUGCUGACAGCAAAACAGCUGUCGGACUUCGGAGGGAGGCCGUCCUAGACCAAGUGGCCUUCGGCCAACCUGCCAGCUGAACACAGAUGCAUGAGUGAGCCAAACCAAGAUCAACCAGAGCUGGCCCAAGUCAGCAGAACUGCCCAGCUGACCCGUAGACUUGUGAGCAAUAAGAAGUGCUUGUUGUUUUAAGUCACUAAGUGUUGGAGUGACUCCUUACACAGCAACAGCCAACUGAUAGACUCCCUCACUUAAGGGCGCGGGCGCACACCUGACAGGCGGUAUCACACUGCACUCCGGCAUUCACAGGCUCAUUCACCCCUCAGAUAUUGGUUGAAUGCCUACCUUAUAACAGGCCUUGUUUCAGGCUCAGAGGAUGCACUGUCCCAACUCUCUCGGCGUUUGCAUUCCACUGGGUGAAGACAAACCACAAAGAAAUAAAUCAGUAAAUAAAUAAGAAAAAUACCAGCUAGCAGUAAGCAAUAUCCAGACCAUUUAAAAUGGCCUAUGAUAGAGAGUACCCCUGGGGUCCCUUUAGGCUGAUGGCCAUGGAAGCUUCGUGGAAGAGACAUGCAGACCAAGGUCUGGACGUCGCGUAGAGGAGCCAUGUGAGGACGGAGGGAAGAGCAGUGCGAGAGCCCCAAGGCUGGGAUGUGGGCGUCUCAGACAGAAAGAAGACGGGGUCUGGAGCCCCUGGGGAAGGAGAGGAGGGGAAGGAGAGAGCGUGGAGGGCUGUUAAACCAGGAGAACUUAGAUUAUAUGCUAAAUGCACUAAGCAAGCUAUCAUCAUUUUUUAAAACAACAGAGAAUAACAUAAUCUGAUUAAUGCUUAGAUGACUCCCCCUGGCUGACGGGCAUAGAGAGGUUAUUAAGGGCACAUGUGGAAGAAGGGCAUCAGCUAAGAAGGCCCUGCAGUGACGUAGCCGGACCAAGGUUAUAGCAAUGGAGGUGAAGAGGACUAUGUCUUAGGGGAAGACAUGACAGGACUUGGGAUGACCUGGCUGUGGGAGAUACAGAGGAAUCUAGGGUGACGCCGAGACAUUUGUUCAGUAAGUGGAUGGACCAAAAUGGAAGAGACAAGAGGAGGGGCAGGCCUGAGGGCAGGGCAGUGGGAGUCUGCGAUGUCUGUUAGGACAGGGAGAGGCAAGGGCGUGGAAGGUGUCAACGAAAAUAAUCCAUAACCAAUCUAUAAAUGAAAAUUUGGGUCAGUUUAUUCUGAGCUGAAAUCUGAGGACCAUGGCCCAGGGCCUUUCUUCCCAAAGGAAGAAAGGGUACCGAAGAAGUGGGGUCCACAGAGUGAUUAUAUACCCCCAAACAGGGUGUUUCACAUAUGAUUGAAAUGUCCCUCCCACAAUGGUCACAAGAUUGCCCUGUCAGCACAGCGCUUGAUGGACACAGCAGGAGGCAAGUCUGUUGUCUGGAGCUGGGCGGUCACAGGUGAGCGCAGCAAUCAGUUCCUAGCCUAAGGAAAGAUGCUUAAUCCUUAAGGAGAUGCCAAUGUUGGGAGGGGGAGGGAAGUUGCACCUUUAUCUCAAGGGCCUUUGUUCUUGCCAUAGGGAAUAUCUAAAGCAGAUACACAAUGCAUGCUCAACAGCCACGGUCAGGCCCUUUUGGAAAGACAAGGUCAGGCUGAAUUAGGUUUAUACCAAAUGGCUUCCUCAUAUUCUCCAAUAUAUCCUAUUGCUUGCCACAUGGGCCUGGGGGCCUGGGGAGGGGUCAGCACUGGAGGAGUAGUUUGGGGGUCACUGGCAUGAAGAUGACGUAAGCGUUGGACAGAAUGUGGCCACCCAAGGACAGUGAUUAGCAGAGAUGGGAGCCCAGGACAGAGACCUGGGCACACCUACAUUUACGGGUUGAGCAGCCUAGAAGGAGCCAGCAAGGAGCCUGAGAAGGAAUAACCAGUUAAGGCAGGCACAAAGGAGGAGGCCCAUACGGUGACACUGAAACCAGGAGGGCAGAACGGGCAAGAAGAGGACGUGGGCAACUGUGUCGGGUGCUCCUGACUGCUAUGGAGGACAGGGACCUUCCUGCAGCUGGUGAAUUUGGCAAACAUUCGAAUGCCUUUUGCCCUCUUCAGGCCGACAACACAUCCCAGGACAUCAGCUGGAUUGUGAAGUUCUCUUCCGGCUCCUGUCCCUGGGUGCUGGACUGACUCGCUACCAACUGCCGGCACCCGUCCUACACACGCCUGCCCUCAUAGGUUCAGUCAUUCCCCAAACUCCACCACAAUCCAGGGGCCCAGAAUUCCAAUGACCCAUCAGGGUAGUCAGCAGGGAUUCUCUGGAAACUGUCUGCUCCACAGGGACAAAGAUGGCGUCCGUCUUGCCUGCACUGUGUCCCAGUGCCCAGCACAGCGCCCAGCCACAGAGAAGUUCAAACACCGAGGACGAGAAGGGAUGUUAGAGUCCCCAUCUGAACUCCCGCCGUUGGCGCUGCAUGUGGCUUCUCCUGGGACCCAGGCUGCCACCACCUUAUCCCCCUGUGUACCGAUAUGAGGCAUCUUUUCAAUGUCCCCCAAACUGAGGUUUCUCGGGGUUGGGGUUCUGUCUUGCUGAGGCCAGGUCCCCAGUACAGCUGCUGACUUCUCUGAUGUGGACUUCUGAUUGGCUGGCAGGGCUUUCCUGGUGUCCUGCCCACCUGCAGAGCUGGGACAUCCCCUUAACUAUGCUUAAGGGUCUCAUCUCCCAGGACCUUGCCUUGAAGACUGUAUCAUCUGCCAUGAGCAUGGCCUCUGCUGUAGAAAUCUCUAAUCCUUCAAUUAACUUUUCCUGCUGUAGCAAGAUUAGGUCAAAAGACUGUCUUCUCUGGUUGAGCCAGAACCAAACAACGUUCCUAAGACUUUUCAACAACUUGCUUACACUCUGGUUUCCACAAUGUUGGAAGUAAGGUGACUAUUAUACCUCCAGCUCGCGUCACAGUAGAAGUCUGUGGAAACCACCCAAAAUGUCAGCCCCGCAAUUCAUGCACUACUGUGUUGAUCCCCUUGUUUAGUCUGUCAAAGCCUCAGUUUCCUCAUCUGUCAAAUGGGACAACAGCUAACUUCAAGGAUUUUAUGGGGAUCAGAGUGAAUCCUGUGCUGAAGGAUGCUCCCUGCCUGACACAGCAUGCACACUCUGACUGGAGCCUCCGUCCACUUUUCUUGCUGGAGCCUCCGUCCACUUUUCUUGCUUGGGAACUCUUCUUUCAUUCAUUCAACAAACACACACUGCUUAAGUUGUGCAAGGCAGGACUUCAGGCCCUGAGGCCCCAGACUGAACGAGCAGGACAGUGCACCUGGUCUUACACGGCUUCUGGUCUUGUGAGAGAGACAGAUGGCAAACGAAUGAAGAGACAGCGGUCGGUGGUGGGUGCUCAGUGUGAAUGAACCGGGAUGCCAACGGUAGGAAAGAAAGGAGGGGGGUCUGCUUUAUGCUGAGCGGAAGGCAGGUCUCUGGGAAGUACACUUGAGCUGAGACCUAAAUGACAAGGAGUUAAGCCCACUGAACACCUGAAAGAAGAGCUUUCUAGAAAGAAGGCAGAGCUGGGGAGAGCCCUGCUCCUGGCACGAGUGGACUUGCACGGCUUCACACAAGGCACAGGACAGCGGUGGGCAGAGCCCUGAGCACUCGGGGCCUCUUUGGUUGGAGUGAAGAGCUUGUAUUUUCUCCUCAGUGCAACGAGGAGCCUGUGGAGAAUUUAAAGCAAAGGCAGGAACGAGAACUGGCCUACGUGCCUGCCCACCGCCAGGAAGGGUAGUUUUGGGGCAACAAGAGUAGAGGGAGGAAGACCACACAGGAGGCUAACGUGGCCAUGUGGGCGACGGAUGCUGGUGGCCCGGACCGCCGUGGGAGCCAUGGGACGGUCAGAGGCGCACAGGUGCCACGAGAUCUUAGAGAACGAGUCAGCAGGACCUGCAGCUGGAUUGAACUGAGGAGGGAGGUGAGGAAGAGCCAGAGAUCAAGGAGGAUUCCCAGGAUUUGACGUGAGCCACGGAGGCGCCAUUUACUGAGAAAACACCAGGGAAGGAGCACGCUUAUGGGAGAAAAUCCAGAUUUCAGUUCUGGACACUGCAAGUUGGAGAUGCCUAUUAAACAUACACGUGGAUACGAGCAGGUGGCAGCAUAGGCCUGGGCGCACAAGGGGGAUGUCAGGGGAGGGUCAGGGCUGAGGAUACAGAGAUGUGUUUUAGGCUAAUGAGGGUACUUAGAGCCACAGAACUGGGUGAGAUUCCCAAAAGACCGGGUGUGGAUGGAGGGGAAAAGGAGUCAAGGUGCAGUCGCAGGACAAGCCAGCACUCGGAGGCCCAGUGGAGGGUUCUGAGGAGGAGGCGCCCGAGCAGAAACACCAGGAGAGGGUGAAGCUGCAAGAGCAAAGAGGGCGUCAAGUGCAAGGGUCUGAGUCACAGUUUUUAUAGCCACCAGGCUUGCUUCACAAACACCCCAUUAACAGCAAACCAGCAUUAAGGCCAAUCACCAACCUGUCGACCCCAAGAGCCAAGUCAGUGUUCACUUCUCAAGUGUAUCAGCGUACGGGGUGAAUUGUGUCAACAAAAUAAGGUAUGUUGGAGUCUUAACCCUCAGUUCCUCAGAACGUGACCUAAGUUGGAUAUGGGAUCUUCACAGAGGCAAUCGAGUUAAAACUAGACCUUUAAGGUGGGUUCUAAUCCAGUAUUACUGGUGGCCUUAUAAGAAGAGGACACAGACACACACACACAGGGAGACGCCAUGUGAAAAUGAAGACAGAGAUCAGGAGAUGGAGCAGAAGCCAAGGAAGGCCACAGAUUCCAGCAGGCACGGAAGCCGGGAGAAAGGCCCGGCACGGGUUCUCCUUCAAGCCCUCACAGGCCGAAGAAGGAACCCACAUCUUGAACCAGACUUCUAGUCUCCAGAACUUGACACAAUAAACUUGGGUGAAGCUCCCCAGUGUGUGGUACUUUGCCAGGCAGUCUUAAGAAACCAACAUGGCCAGUAGGCCAGAAGGGCAGCCACAGGCCUCAGCACUCUCACGCUGGGGUCUCCCUUCCCCGUGUGCAAAAGACAAAGUAGGUUCUGAGACAGUGUUAGCACUGUGGGACACCUCCAUGGGCUUGUUCUCAGUGUAUGAAAAUGGAACUUUGCUGCCAGCACUAGCAAAAACACUCGGGACAAAAUCACACAGGGAGAGUGCUAUUGGGUGUGGCUUAAUGCCACAGGGAGCCCACUUUUGUCAGGAGGUAGAGGAGAGAAGGCUGCAAGCUGUGGGGAACACGAGAGCCAAAACGGUGGAGGGAAGCAAAGCUGAGCGUUUGUUGUGCACAGAAGGAGUAAGAAGACUGAAGGAGAGCAUGGUGGCCACGUGGUGGCCCCAAAGGGAGGGCGCAGGGCCUCCACCGUUUGUCCAGUUAGAAACAACUUGUGUGGACCGUGCACACACACUUCGAAGGCCUCCUCUCUCUCUGCCUAUUUCUGUUCCCACGAGAAACGGCAACACUGUUUCUCUUUUGAUACUAAAUUUACAAAAUUCAAAAGAAAAUAUGGCAUUUUUUGUGUUAAAAAAUGUGGAACGUACCCAUAAGGUGUUCGAGUUAAGCUGUCUUUGAUCAUAAGGAGCAGAUAUCCACAAAUGUGUUCAACUCAGAUGCAGGACACUGGCUGUUGUCAGGAUCCAUGUGAGGUAGGGAGAGACGUUCAGUUGAAAUCAAGAACUUUGGUAAUAAAAAUAGGUCCCACUUCAUAUUGUGCCAGCACCCUGAGAAGUGCUCCCCACGUGCUGACUCCUUCGUUCCUCACAGUGCCCCUCCAGGGGAGGUGCUGUACUUAACGCCCGUCUUAUGGACGAGGAAACUAAGGUAGAGAGAUUAGGUGUGUUGCCCGAAAUUACAAAGCUGGUAAGUGAGGAACCAGGAUUUGAACCAAGAUGGGCUGGCUCCUAGGAAUGUGCCCCUACAGACUAGUCUGUGCAGCUCCUCGGGGACCCGAAUGGAACUGGGCAGACUGGGGAUGCGCCGUCUUCUCCUUCCUCCUGCCUUUCUCCCCCUUUCCUUCUCUCUCUCUCUCCCUCCACCUCUCUCUGUCUCUCUCGACGUUUCUGUUCCUCCUCUCGUGUGUCUGCUGUGUUCUCUUUGGCCGCUAACCAGCUUCUUCUUCCUGAGUGCUCUCUGUUGCCUCUCUCCACUCAAUACCUUCUACUCACUCCUCGUUUCUGCUCCCUUACGCCUUCAACCCGGGCCAUGGCGCAUCACAGGACUCCGACCACCCAUCGUUCACUGUCUCACCGGGAUUUCUUAGUCCAGAAUCCCAAAGGACAAAAUCCAACUGGAUCCAUCCACUAGGUGCCGUGCAAUCUGGUUGGCUGUGGCUGUGUAUUGAGUCACAAAGAACUACAGCAGCCACCGAGGAGGACACCUGAUUUGAACAGAUCUGUCACAGUGCUGGACAGGUGCUGGAAGCUUGGUUCAUCCCCACCUUCCACACCUUGCAAGACCACGCAGCCUUCCCUCUAGAAAUCUUGCUCUCUUCUUUGACACACUGGAUUGACUGAAAACAGGUUUUCCAUACACUUAGAGAACAAAAAUAUUUUUUGCAUUAAAAGCAGAAUCACAACAGGCACGUGGACAGAUAUUUAAACAAAGGACACACCAAAUCUCACACCCAGUGCUGCCAGAAACACCCGCAAACUCUCCGACCAUGAAAUCAGAAUUUGGGGACCUGGUCUAACAGGUUUGUGAUUAACCUUGUCAACUUAUUUUUGAAACAACCCUCGUCGUUCAUGCCACUGUAGUCACGGGUUCCCUCCCCCAAGCAGGAAGUCCAGAAUGAAAGUGGGUUGUUGCCAUAGCAACAGAGUACAAGGCAGCGAACUCCAGCGAAGGGGGAGGUCCCAAGGCCAGAGCCACAAGAAAGCCCCAGGCCCCAGGGUGGUGGCAGCCGAGAGAGGCAACCUGCCAUGACUUCACACUGCCAGAUGGCCCACUGUCAACACAGGGUCCCCC